CAGGGAGAGUAAGUUGCGCACGGGUGAGUAUCGCGUGGGUAUCUACCCUUGGAUUCAGGAUAACAUUUGGAAAGGGGUGCUAAUACUGGAUAACAUCCUGAUGGUUUGGCCAUAAGGAUCAAAGAUAGCCUCUACAUGUAAGCUAUUGUUCAGGGAUGAGCCCGCGUACCAUUAGCUAGUUGUGGGUAAGAGCCUACCAAGGCAACGAUGUUAGCUGGUCUGAGAGGAUGAUCAGCCACACUGAACUGAAACACGGUCCAGACUCUUACGGGAGGCAGCAGUGAGGAAUUUUGCGCAAUGGGGGAAACCCUGACGCAGCAACGCCGCGUGAGUGAAGAAGGCUUUCGGGUCGUAAAGCUCUGUCAAGAGGGAAGAAAGUGGGGGAUGGUAAUACUGUUUUCUAUUGACGGUACCUCUGAAGGAAGCACCGGCUAACUCCGUGCCAGCAGCCGCGGUAAUACGGGGGGUGCAAGCGUUAUUCGGAUUUAUUGGGCGUAAAGAGCGCGUAGGCGGUUUAUCAAGUCAGAUGUGAAAGCCCUGGGCUCAACCUGGGAAGUGCAUUUGAAACUAGUAGACUUGAGUAUGGGAGAGGGGAGUGGAAUUCCUGGUGUAGAGGUGAAAUUCGUAGAUAUCAGGAGGAACACCGGUGGCGAAGGCGACUUCCUGGACCAAUACUGACGCUGAGGCGCGAAGGCGUGGGGAGCAAACAGGAUUAGAUACCCUGGUAGUCCACGCAGUAAACGGUGAUCACUAGGUGUCGCGGGUA
rnacentral:rRNA from 1 species